rfam:Cephalotus follicularis DNA, scaffold: scaffold2410, isolate: St1.
GGGUGCGAUCAUACCAGCACUAAUGCAUCAGAUUCCAUUGGAACUCCGCAGUUAAGCUUGCUUGGACGAUGUGUAGUAGUUUAAUGCAUACCAGCUUUGUGUGCAAAUUUUUGGAAUGCAUCCA